GGAGGGGGUGGUGUGAAGGCUUGCUGUUAGCUCACCCAUGCUACUGGCUGGAGAUGGCUUUGUAUUUUCGAUUUUAUUGAUUUUUUCCCCCCUCUAAUUUCUGUUAUUUUCUUUCUUUUUUCAUUUGAUCUCAUUUGCUUUCUUUGUCUAGUUUCCUUCUAGGUACCAACAUUUUUCUCUUGUCUGAAACUUUCUUCUCUGUACUCAUGAAACUUCCCAUUUCUUCUGUCUACCAAAGAUACUUGUACCUGCCAUUCAGGUUUCACAGGAUGUACAUAGGAAUUUAAGUAUAUGUCAGAGAUUACAGUCAGAAUAUACCAUUAAAUGGUGGUGACCAUUUAUCCAAUACUAUCUGAAGACGGCCCAAUAAAAGAGAGUCAUAGCCUAUAUGAACCUGGGUGAGGGGGUGUAUUUUGAAUAGCUGCUAUAUUUUUAAUAGUGACAGGGCUUGGGGGGGAAUUUUGAAUAGCUAUAUUUUUAAUAUUGAUAGGGCUUAUGGGUUAAUAGAUCCUACAGUGUCUUUUACAUGGUCUCAGAGAAGCCCUAGUUCAUUAAAAAGAAACCUAACUAGGCUCUCUUUGAAUUUCUAAAUCUUGCUAAGUGUAUUUUUCUUCCACAAAAUGCUCACAGACAGCUGACUUACUGAGUUUUACUAAGAAACAAAAUCACACACGGUAUAGCUCUACACAUAAGGAACAGAGAGGAUGUUGGGAGUGAGACACCAGGUUCGUGGUCUCCCUUGGGAUGCUUUGUUCAUGAACCUUUAGUGGUACUUCAAAAGGAUACAGCUUUCAAACAAUAAGUUAAGCUCUGUAAGAAUGGACCGGUGGUGAGGAUGUGCUAGGACCCAUUUUUUUUUUUUUUUUUUUAAAGAUUCAUCUAAUUUGGUGUAGUGGCAAGGAUCUUUAAAAAAUGGCAAUAUCCUGUAAAGGAGAUUUUGCCCCUGGAACAUUGUGUUGUGUCCUAUGGACUAAUGAGUUGGCCCGACGAGGGGUGGAAGGGAGAUGUGGAGGAAGGAAGGUUUGUCUGGACCGGUGAUGAGUUCCACAGGGUAUCUGAACCAGGAUAUUGUGAGAACUGUUUACUGUUGUUUUUAAUUUCCUACCACAUUGAUUUGAAGAUUUGCCUAUCAGUGUGGCCCUGGCUGAUAAGGAGGGCGUCACAAGUGGUAGAAGAUGCUGGCGUCAUUAUCUUCCAUCAGAUGUCUUUAGACAAGGGCAGAUUCACUUAGUGCAAGGUCCAGCAGAGCAGCAGUCAAAGCAGACAGAGAUGAGCUCUGGGUGCUGGUGAAGGUCUCUCUUCCCCGAGCUCCUUGGUUAAGGAAGAUGGAUGCCUUCAGUAAAGGGAGAGUUUGGUCCCUGGAGUAUUGUGUUGUGUCCUAUGGAAUAAUGAUUUAACACGAGAGGAGAGAUGGAGGAAGGCUUUUCUGGAUCAGUGAGGAGAACUUGGGGGAUCUGAACUAAGAUAUUGUAACUAAACCCAUGUAUGUCUCUGAGGUCUUUUACAACUCUCCCUUCUUUAGGGAACACUUUGUGGGGCUGUGUCCUAGGCUGAUAGACAUGUGGAUACAUUGGUUUCUUUAUUUCUAUACUAGCAGUGAGGUGGGUGGUGGCAGAGCCCAACAAGCUACAGUCAUUCCCAGCUAGGGUUUUACUUUUCUAAUGAAAUUAGCCUGUGGAUCUUUAAAAAGUAUGAAUAAAAAAAGAGGACAAAAUGGUCAAUUAUUACAAAGGAGUAUAAUGAGACAAAGGUUGUUGUUAAAUCUACUCAACAGUUGGGGCUUAAGAACCAUUUUGUUUAGGGGUACAUGGUCAUUAAGUGUUUGUCCUAUGUUGGUAACUGGUCUCCCAUAGUUGUUCCUAGUUCACUUCAACCCCACGAUCCUAAGCACACCUGUACCUGCCCUGGAAUCCCUCAGCCAUGUUUGUCCCACAGAGCAUCACUAUCAAACAGUUCACUGUGGACUCCUCGUAGCAGAAGUACAGUAGGGGACAGCAAGUGUCAGCUCCAUCAGGUGUGUGCAAUCUUGUGUAACCUACUUUGUAGCUUUCCAUCAGGCUUUAGGGACAGACAGGCACCCAUCAUGAGACAGGGCUUGACAAUCUCAGCCGGGCGUGGUGGCUCACGCCUUUAAUCCCAGCACUCCGGAGGCAGAGGCAGGCGAUUUCUGAGUUCGAGGCCAGCCUGGUCUACAAAGUGAGUUCCAGGACAGCCAGGGCUAUACAGAGAAACCCUGUCUCGAAAAACCAAAAACCAAAAAAUAAAAAAUAAAAAAAGAAGCCAGUCUCUAACCAGUGGCCCUCAGAUAUAAACAAUGCAGGCCAUUGGUUCUACAAGAAAAGAGCUGCUGAUGAAGUAAUCAUGACUUAUAAAUCCAUGAGCAGCUUCACCAACUCACGACAGUGUUUUUGAGGAAUAGGCAGCCAUACCUGGGUGUCUGAUGCCUGUUGGUGGCCCUGUCUGAGUCAACACUUUUGGCAACGCCUGGGUAAAGUCUGAGGUCAUUUGCUCAGUGAGAGACUGACACUACUUUUUUAUAGAAAUUAUCUUUGUGUAGAAGUCUGAAAAACUUAGCCAACUUGCCCCUGGGCUUUUUGGCUCAGUGGUAUGUAAUCUUUUAUUUCAAGAGUAUUAGUAUAUAAAUAGGAAAUAGGUACAUAAAAUAAUGAAGACACAUUGAUUUGUGCAAUAGGUAGUGCAAGAAGCCAAAGAUAACUCAUGCUAUUGCCUACUAAAAAGCAAGUGUGCUUGUUAAUUCCAAGUAACAUAGGAUAGAGUCUGCAACCCUCUUUCAUAUUGAGUAUAUUAGUAGCUGUACUUAAUAGAGUUGCUUGGGUGUUUGUUGGUCAUUAAGAAAAGCAAAGUGCACAAGCUAGCCAUGUGUUAACUAUCCACCUGCUUGACAGAUGGUUGUAAAUGCUGUAAGACUUACUCUUGGACAUUCACCACAUUGAAAAUCAGAACUUUGAUAUUAACUCUAAACUUUAUUAUUACAUAGUUCUGCUUGACCCACUAAAUUCUAAAUCUUCUCUUCCCUCUUGUGCUGAAUGUAGGACCCCUGAUUUAAUUAUUUACUGUGGAACCAUUGUCCUGAGUCAGGAGGAUAGAUGAGGAAAGGUAAGGCUCUUAGUUCAUGGCCUCUGUCUGGAGUCUUGUUUAUGGCUGCUAGCUGAUCAUUUUCAAAAUCAGUAAUGGUCACCUACCUAAAACAGUUAACUUACAAAAUCAUGUUUAAUCCAAGUUGCCCUAAUAGACAUGAUUUUAAAAGAAAAAAGCAGUUAUAUAACUUGUCCCCAGAACUUUAGUGUUACCUUUUGCAUUGUGGUUGAGCUCUGCUCCCCAACAGUAGUUCUUUGGGAAGGCCCCCAUAUAAAUGCUAGCUCACGAGUCUAUGAGGAUUUCUGAGGUGGAAGAUGGGAUGGGAGCUUCAUUAUGUUUGAUGGAGCCAAAUUUGACAUCUGGAUGAAUUAAACAAAAGUGAACCACACAAAAAUUAGAUGUGGAUUGGAUCCAAAACAGAGACACUAGUGUGCCUUGGAGCAUGUGCCCUAAUGGAAGCAAUGUGGUCUGGAUAUCCCGAGAAGAGAGCCCCAACCCAAAGAUCUUGUUUUAGGGACUGUGUAUUGUUAACUGUGAAUCAAUCAGUCAAUGAAUGACGCAAACACCCAGCAUAGGCCAAUGAUGAGGAGCAUGGGGUUUCUGACCGAGGACAGUGAUUAAACCCUUAUGAAAUCUGAGGACUAUUGCAAACUGGUGUCUGCAUCCUAUAGAGAGGAGUCCCCAAAGCCCGAUCUUUGUGGAUUCGUGGCGUAACCCACAUUCCUGUAAUAAAAUUAGUCAUAAAUAAAGAAUAUGUUAAUGAAUAAAAGAUAAAAAAGAUAAAAUUGGCAAAGCUGGUUAGUUAGCCUUGAAACAAACAUAAAACAAAGCAACAAAACAAAAUAAAACAAAACAAGCAAACCCCUAAAAAUAGGGCAGGUAGAAUGGUUCACAAGAGCCUUGGAAAGGCCCUGUGAGCAAGCCUGGUGAUCCAGAUUCCACCUCUGAAAUCUCAUAGAGAAGAGCAGAGUCGCCAUACUGUCCUCUUACCUGUACAGACAGACAGACAGACAGACAGACAGACAGACACACACACACUACACAAUACACAACACACACACACACACACACACAUAUACAAACAUACACACACACAGACUCACAGACACACAUAGACACUCACAUACACACACACAGACACAGACUCAUACACACAUAGACGCACAUACAUACACACACAUACACGCAUACACACACAAACACAGACUCACACACACACACACACACACGCGCAUACACACACGCAUGCAUGCAGGAUGUAAAUGAACGAUUUAAAAUAAGACAAAAAGGAAGAACCUGAUGUUACACAUGCACUUUUUAAAGCAUUUAAUGCAGUGUGGGUUGGUAUUAAUUUUGAGAUUCUUAGUCAAGAUGCUUAGCUGUGUUAGAAGUUAUCUGAUGAUUGAUGAGGAGGCAAGUUGAGGCAAGUUGCCCAGUGCCAAGGAAUAGGAGAUACAUUUCUGUAACUAGUGGUUGAAUGCAGGACACUUACACACAAAGCAACAGCAAGACUUCCACACACCCCACCAGGUGAUUGAUAAAAGUUUGCCACACUUGAGCACUGGUAUAGCACACCAAACAGCCCCACUUAGGGGGCUGAUCCGGAACGGGGCACUCAAAUCUACCAAAGUCUAUGAAGGGACGCAUUCUUAAAUGUGUAUCUCAACCAGUUGUUUGUUUGUUUGUUUAUAAAUUGAGGAAUUCAGCAUUGGAACCAUGCACUCCUGACAUGCACAAGGCAGAGACUUUCCCGACCUUUCCAGUCAUGCGUUUAGGAAUUUACCUUAUGAGUGUUCCAGUCUUGGUUUGGUAGCUGUAAACUUUCAAAUUCUGCUAGAAAAAUUAUCCUAUGAGAAAUUAAUCUUGUCAGUUAAUGUGCAAGUUAGACAGGGGCUGGGCGGUCAUCUUCUGAGGACUGUCUGCCACAGUUGUCAUGCUCACAUGUGAACAUACAUCCACAUGCAUGUGCAAGUGCACAUAUAAACACACACCCCGGAAAA
rnacentral:lncRNA from 1 species